UUUUAACGGCCGCGGUAUUCUGACCGUGCAAAGGUAGCAUAAUCACUUGUCUUUUAAAUAAAGACUGGAAUGAAUGGCAAGACGAGUUAUCCACUGUCUCCUUUAUUUAAUCAAAGAAACUGAUCUCCCUGUGAAAAAGCAGCGAUAACCUUACAAGACGAGAAGACCCUAUGAAGCUUAGACACACAAUUAGUUAAUAACUUAUUUAAUAUAAGUUUUUAAUACUUCUAAUUAUUAAAUUUGGUUGGGGUGACCACGGAGGAAAAAAAUCCUCCGAGAAAUAAAAUUAAGACAACCUGUCAAAAUUAGAUAAAAGCACUUGACCCAAUUAUAUUGAUCAACGAAACAAGUUACUCUAGGGAUAACAGCGCAAUAUUCUCCAAGAGCCCCUAUCGACGAGAAAGUUUACGACCUCGAUGUUGGAUCAGGAUAUCCAGACAAUGCAGCCGUUGUCACAGGUUUGUUUGUUCAACAAUUAAAAUCCUACGUGAUC
rnacentral:rRNA from 1 species